rnacentral:rRNA from 1 species
AACGAACGCUGGCGGCAUGCCUAACACAUGCAAGUCGAACGAGACCUUCGGGUCUAGUGGCGCACGGGUGCGUAACGCGUGGGAAUCUGCCCUUUGCUUCGGAAUAACAGUUAGAAAUGACUGCUAAUACCGGAUGAUGUCUUCGGACCAAAGAUUUAUCGGCAAAGGAUGAGCCCGCGUAGGAUUAGGUAGUUGGUGGGUAAAGGCCUACCAAGCGACGAUCCUUAGCUGGUCUGAGAGGAUGAUCAGCACACUGGGACUGAGACACGGCCCAGACUCCUACGGGAGGCAGCA